rnacentral:rRNA from 1 species
AGUGAACGCUGGCGGUAGGCCUAACACAUGCAAGUCGAACGGCAGCACAGUAAUAGCUUGCUAUUACGGGGGGGGAGUGGCGGAUAAGUGGGGGAUAAUUCGGAAUCUACUUUUUCGUGGGGGAGAAAAUAGGGGAACUUACGCUAAUACGGCACACGACCUACGGGUGGAAGCAGGGGAUCUUCGGACGUUGCGUGAUUGAAUGGCCUGAUGGCGGGUUGGCUAGUUGGCGGGGUAAAAGGCCACCAAGGCGACGAUGGGCAGCCGGUGUGAGCGGAUGAUCCGCGACUGUGGAACUGAGAGACGGUCCAGACUCCGACGGGAGGCAGCAGUGGGGAAUAGUGGAAAAUGGGCGCAAGACUGAUCCAGCCAUACCGCGUGGGUGAAGAAGGCCUUCGGGUUGUAAAGCCCUUUUGGUGGGAAAGAAAAGUAGCAGGUUAAUACCCCGCUGUUCUGACGGUACCCAAAUAAUAAGCACCGGCUAACUUCGUG